AUAUAAUUCAAUGUUCUAUUAAAAUGAUAUACAUCACUUAUUGAAGCAUCAUAAAAUUUAGUAAUAGGCGAUAGAAUUUUUAUUUAUUUGUAUAUUCAAGUACCGUAAGGAAAUAAAAAAACUAAAAUAAAUCAGCUUAUAUUAGCGUACUUUCCGCAUCACGGCUUAGCAAGAGAUAAAUUAGAAAUCUAACUUCUCGAAAUCUAAUGAGCUAUCUUUACUUAAUCUAUUAGGAUUUAUAAAUGUUCUAAAUGUAGCAAAAUUUAAACAAUAGAUAAAGAUAGGGAUGAAAUUUCAUGCGCAUUAGUGAUAGCUAGUUCUUUCUGAAAGAUAUAAAAGUAUCAAAGUGAUAAAAAUUAUAGGGAAUUUUAGCUCCCUUUAAUUUAUUCUAACUUUUAUUUACUUGAGGAUAAGCUCAAGUAAAGUUCUGAGGAUAACCUAUAACUACUUUUAUUACUCUAUAUGGGCUUAAGAUUGGCCACCAUAGCCGAAGUUUGUUACAAAAUAGUCUUCAAAUUACACAAAAUUAAUAUAUGCAUAAUCUUCCCAGUUACACUAAGAAAGUAUUUGGCUAAACUAACAAAACAAAACACUUAUGCUAGGAUGAGUAUUACACUUAGAAAUAAUUUCUGAAAGUAUAGUAAAAAGCUUUCUUAUAACCCUUAUUUCCUCAACAUAAAAUGUCUAGAAGGAACUCGGCAAAACCUGCUUCGCCUGUUUAUCAAAAACAUGGCUCUCUGUUUCUUCUUAUAGAGAGUUGAGCCUGCCCAGUGAAAUUUUUAACGGCCGCGGUACUCUGACCGUGCAAAGGUAGCAUAAUCAUUUGCCUUNUAAUUGAAGGCUAGUAUGAAUGGUUUGACGAAAGCAGAUCUGUCUCCCUUUUACUUCCUAGAAUUUGACUUUUAGGUGAAGAGGCCUAAAUAAUAUUGAAGGACAAGAAGACCCUGUCGAGCUUAAAAGAAUAAAUAGAAGUUAAUAUACUUAUAAAUAAAUAAUCUACUAAGCUUUUUAGUUGGGGCGACUAAGGAACAAAUAGAGCUUCUUCGAUAAAAGAAACCAACGAAGUUUAGAUCCAGCGGAAGUCUGAUCAAAGAAAUUAGUUACCGCAGGGAUAACAGCAUAAUCUUCCUUGAGAGACCUAAUCGAAAGGAGGGGUUGUGACCUCGAUGUUGGACUAGAAUAUCCUAAAGAUGCAGAAGUCUUUAAGGG
rnacentral:rRNA from 1 species